GGGCGCAGGACCCAAGCUUGAGCCCAAUACAAAUUCGGAAAUACAAGGUGCCAAUAGAAAGAAUAUUGGGCCUAAGGGGAGUUACCGAGCCCAAAAAAAUUGAGAGUGAACGAGGGACUCAACUUCACUAUUGAGCACGUGAUCCACAUUUUUUACAUUUUCAUGUGUUAUCGAUCUGAACCUAAGUCCACCACUGACCUCUCCCUCUCCAUUGCGCCAGAGCUCACCACCGGCGGUGGUGGAACCUCAAACAUCAAAACCAGAUGCAUCAUCCCACUCCAAAUUUCAAGCUCUACUCGAAUCUCAUACUGAAUUCAUUUGAAACAACCUAAAUUUCCUAGAUUGUGCAAGACAAACUAUGAACCCUAGCUACAAGAAAUUAAAUUAAAUGCUUGAAAUAAGGAAUCAAAGUCCAUGAUUUUUAGGGCUUUGAUUCCUCAACCCCUCCUCUACAUAGUGGUAACUAGCACGCAAUAAAUGGUGAAGAAAUCAACCUUACCUGCCGAAGAUGCGAAACUGAGAUCGGAGCAAACGCCAGUGUUUGAACAAGCUUCAGGGUUAUUGGCUUGGUAAUUAGACAUUCAAGGCAUGCCAAAAGGCUUGGCAAGUGAACCAUCAAGGCAUGGCAAGAAGAAAUACUUGGUGCAAAAGGUGGCUUUCUUGUUCAUGAAAAAAUUGAUCAUGGAAUCACAUGGUGAAGAAAUUAACCUUACCUGCUGAAGAUGCGAAGCUGAGAUCGGAGCAAACGCCGGUGUUUGAACAAGCUUCAUGUCAUGUAAUGGGCAUUAGGGUUAGGUAAUGUAAAAAUAGGUUAGUUGACUUUAGUCAACUAGUUAACCAAAAAGUCAACUUUUGUAAAAAAUGUAUCUUUUUUGUAUUUAUUUUAUAUGGACAAUGUAAAUGAUAAUUGAAUGAAUGAAUGGACAUUUAUUUUGAGUAGAAAUGAUUUAAAGA